rnacentral:rRNA from 1 species
UAUAGUUGUUGCAGUUAAAAAGCUCGUAGUUGAAUUUUGGGUCUGGCCGGGCGGUCCACCUUCCGGUGAGCACUGUUCCGAUGUCGGGCCUAUCCUUCUGGUGAGACGGCAUGCCCUUCACUGGGUGUGUCGGGGAACCAGGACCAUUACCUUGAAAAAAUUAGAGUGUUCAAAGCAGGCGGUUGCUCGAAUACAUUAGCAUGGAAUAAUGAAAUAGNACGCGUGGUACUAUUUUGUUGGUUUCUAGGACCGCCGUAAUGAUUAAUAGGG